rnacentral:rRNA from 1 species
CACCUCUAGCAUAAACAGUAUUAGAGGCACUGCCUGCCCAGUGACAUACGUUUAACGGCCGCGGUAUCCUGACCGUGCAAAGGUAGCAUAAUCACUUGUUCCUUAAAUAGGGACUUGCAUGAAUGGCCAAACGAGGGUUAACCUGUCUCUUAUUUCCAAUCAGUGAAAUUGACCUCCCCGUGAAGAGGCGAGGAUAAAUUAAUAAGACGAGAAGACCCUAUGGAGCUUAAAUCCAAUUAGCUCAAGCAUUACUUCAUACUAUUUUCUAUAUGGAUCUAAACCUUUUUGCUUAUUGAGCCAAGGAUUUCGGUUGGGGUGACCUCGGAGCACAGCCAAACCUCCGAAUGAUAUUAAUCCAGACCUACCAGUCCAAAUUUAUACUCAUAAAUUGACCCAAAAUAUUGAUCAACGGAACAAGUUACCCUAGGGAUAACAGCGCAAUCCUACUCAAGAGUCCAUAUCGACAGUUAGGGUUUACGACCUCGAUGUUGGAUCAGGACAUCCAAAUGGUGUAACCGCUAUUAAAGGUUCGUUUGUUCAACGAUUAAAGUCCU